rnacentral:lncRNA from 1 species
GGGAGAGGCAAGCAGAAGGAAAUGGAAGGCUUGAGAGGCAGAGGAAUGACAGAAGUCGGUAGGAGAGUGCCCGGAGGUCUGAGCCAAGAUACUCGCUGUUGGAACUGUUUCCCUUCCAUGUAAUUAGAGACCUGGAGACCUGCUCUUAACAUGUAGGGGUGAAGGGUGAAGGAGGAAGACUGCCAGGAAACCACUUCAGAGCAAAGGGGAAGAGGGACUGGGGGAA